CCUACGGGAGGCAGCAGUGAGGAAUAUUGGUCAAUGGAGGCAACUCUGAACCAGCCACGUCGCGUGAAGGAUGACGGCCCUACGGGUUGUAAACUUCUUUUAUACGAGAAUAAAGUGAGUCACGUGUGAUUUUUUGCAUGUACUGUAUGAAUAAGGAUCGGCUAACUCCGUGCCAGCAGCCGCGGUAAU
rnacentral:rRNA from 1 species